UACGUAGGUGGCAAGCGUUGUCCGGAUUUAUUGGGCGUAAAGAGCGUGUAGGCGGCCAAGCAGGUCCGCUGUGAAAACUCGAGGCUCAACCUCGAGACGUCGGUGGAAACCGUUUGGCUAGAGUCCGGAAGAGGAGAGUGGAAUUCCCGGUGUAGCGGUGAAAUGCGCAGAUAUCGGGAAGAACACCCGUGGCGAAGGCGGCUCUCUGGGACGGUACUGACGCUGAGACGCGAAAGCGUGAGGAGCGAACAGG
rnacentral:rRNA from 1 species